rnacentral:rRNA from 1 species
AUUGAACGCUGGCGGCAUGCCUAACACAUGCAAGUCGAGCGGAGCGGCGGACGGGUGAGUAAUGCCUAGGAAUCUGCCUGGUAGUGGGGGAUAACGUCCGGAAACGGGCGCUAAUACCGCAUACUAUCAAAUCAGCCUAGGUCGGCUCAGCUAGUGGGUGGGGGAAAGGCCUACCAAGGCGACGAUCCGUAACUGGUCUGAGAGGGUGAUCAGUCACACUGUGACUGAGGCACGGUACAGACUCCUACGGGAGGCAGCAGUGGGGAAUAUUGGGCAAUGGGCGAACGCCUGAUCGAGCGAGGCCGCGUGUGUGAAGAAGGUCUUCGGAUUGUAAAGCACUUUAAGUUGGGAGGCGGUACCAACAGAGUAAGCAACGGCUAACGUCGUGCCAGCGGCCGCGGUAAUAC